GGGGAAUUUUGGACAAUGCGGGCUACCCUGAUCCAGCCAUGCCGCGUGAGUGAAGAAGGCCUUCGGGUUGUAAAGCUCUCUCGGCCGGGAAGAAAUCGUGCAGGCUGAUACACUGUAUGGAUGACGGUACCGGAAGAAGAAACACAGGCUAACUACGUGCCAGCAGCCGCGGUAUUACGUAGGGUGCGAGCGUUAAUCGGAAUACUGGGCGUAAAGCGUGCGCAGGCGGUUUUGUAAGACAGGCGUGAAAACACCGGGCUCAACCUGGGAACUGCGCUUGUGACUGCAAGACUAGAGUACGGCAGAGGGGGGUGGAAUUCCACGUGUAGCAGUGAAAUGCGUAGAGAUGUGGAGGAACACCAAUGGCGAAGGCAGCCCCCUGGGUCGAUACUCACGCUCAUGCACGAAAGCGUGGGGAGCAAACA
rnacentral:rRNA from 1 species